AGAGUUUGAUCAUGGCUCAGAACGAACGCUGGCGGCGUGCUUAACACAUGCAAGUCGAACGCGAAAGUUUUCUUCGGAAAGCGAGUAGAGUGGCGCACGGGUGAGUAACGCGUAAGUAAUCUACCCUGGUAUCUGGGAUAACCCACCGAAAGGUGUGCUAAUACCGGAUACGCUGAUUUAUCAGGAAAGGUGGCCUCUUCAUGAAAGCUACUGUACCAGGAAGAGCUUGCGUACCAUUAGCUAGUUGGUAGGGUAAUGGCCUACCAAGGCGACGAUGGUUAGCGGGUCUGAGAGGAUGAUCCGCCACACUGGAACUGGAACACGGACCAGACUCCUACGGGAGGCAGCAGUGAGGAAUAUUGCGCAAUGGGGGAAACCCUGACGCAGCGACGCCGCGUGGAUGAUGAAGGCCUUCGGGUCGUAAAAUCCUGUCAGAUGGAAAGAAAUGCAUAUUUAUUAAUACUGAAUAUGUUUGACGGUACCAUCAAAGGAAGCACCGGCUAACUCCGUGCCAGCAGCCGCGGUAAUACGGAGGGUGCAAGCGUUGUUCGGAAUUACUGGGCGUAAAGGGCGCGCAGGCGGUUUGUUUAGUCAGAUGUGAAAGCCCACGGCUCAACCGUGGAAGUGCAUUUGAAACUGGCAGACUUGAGUACCAGAGGGGAAGGUGGAAUUCCCGGUGUAGAGGUGAAAUUCGUAGAUAUCGGGAGGAAUACCGGUGGCGAAGGCGACUUUCUGGCUGGAUACUGACGCUGAGGCGCGAAAGCGUGGAGAGCAAACAGGAUUAGAUACCCUGGUAGUCCACGCCGUAAACGAUGUGAACUAGAUGUUGGAGGUGUUGAUCCCUUCGGUGUCGGAGCUAACGCAUUAAGUUCACCGCCUGGGGAGUACGGUCGCCAGAUUAAAACUCAAAGGAAUUGACGGGGGCCCCACAAGCGGUGGAGUAUGUGGUUUUAUUCGAUGCA
rnacentral:rRNA from 1 species